rnacentral:rRNA from 1 species
UGCAGAAUCCCGUGAACCAUCGAGUUUUUGACGCAGUUGCGCCCGAUGCCAUUAGGUUGAGGGCACGUCUGCCUGGGUGUC